AUUGAACGCUGGCGGAAUGCUUUACACAUGCAAGUCGAACGGCAGCACGGACUUCGGUCUGGUGGCGAGUGGCGAACGGGUGAGUAAUGUAUCGGAACGUGCCCAGUCGUGGGGGAUAACGUAGUGAAAAUUACGCUAAUACCGCAUACGAUCUAUGGAUGAAAGCGGGGGAUGGCAAGACCUCGCGCGAUUGGAGCGGCCGAUAUCAGAUUAGGUAGUUGGUGGGGUAAAGGCCCACCAAGCCAACGAUCUGUAGCUGGCCUGAGAGGACGACCAGCCACACUGGAACUGAGACACGGUCCAGACUCCUACGGGAGGCAGCAGUGGGGAAUUUUGGACAAUGGGCGAAAGCCUGAUCCAGCCAUUCCGCGUGCAGGAUGAAGGCCCUCGGGUUGUAAACUGCUUUUGUACAGAACGAAGAGGUUUCUACUAAUACUAGGAGCUCAUGACGGUACUGUAAGAAUAAGCACCGGCUAACUACGUGCCAGCCGCCGCCGUAA
rnacentral:rRNA from 1 species